rnacentral:lncRNA from 1 species
CUCUCUUCCUCUCUCUCUCUUAAAAAUAAGUAAACAUUAAAAAUUAAAAAAAGUAUAUCUUCUAUUUCUGUCUGCUGAGAGUGUCCAGAAGCAAUGGUACCCCAGUACCAAUAAGCACAAAUAACUCCCACAUCUUGGCUUCUAAAUACUAUUCUCCAAUAAAAGGAACCAGAGAUCUCUGGAAAAAUAGUUGACUUCAGGGCUGGAGCAGUGAAAAUACAAGAUAAGCCUGGAAUAUUUUGUUGUGCCAGGAGGUAAGAAAAUGCUCAAAGAAUCAUGUAAUGUCAAAGGACAUGGGAGGCAACUUGAAGGGCUCUUGCUGAUUAAGUCUGGGACUAUCUGAGCAGCAGAAUCAAGGAUGACAUUGGCAGAUUACAAGCCAGGGAGUAAAAUAGGAACCCAUGAGCCCACACUGAUGUAGAUGAAUGAGCGAGUGAUGAAUGCACAAAAAAAUAAGCCACUGGAGUCAAAGAAAUGGAAAAUCCCCACUUAGCAGUCAUUGUAGCAUAAGAGUGAGUUAUCAACGGAGGCUAAGGACGGUAGGUGAGGUUUGAUAAGGAAUCAUGCUAGAAUACCUUCUACAAGAUACUUACCAAUUUAAGGGAAAGAGGAGCACAGCAGCAUUUCUGGGACAUUUUGCCAGAGAGCUUGAGAAAGCUUGACCCGAGUAUAGGGACUCGGGGGACAGAUGCCAUGUAGGGUCCCCAUGUUCUUACUGAGGACUUAAUUAUUCCAGAUUGCAAGAGACUGAAGAGCCACAACAACCACAUGCAACGUGUGUUCCUGUGUGGGAUCUGGGCUUUGGGGACAAUCUGUGGAACAAAGGGGUCUUUCGUUUGGACAGUAGAGUUGCAUCCAUGUUGACUUCCUGACUGGAGGGAGGGUUGUGGAGCGGAGGCUGUCCCUGUUUUGGGGAAACAAACACUGGAGUGUUUCGGAGUGAUGAGUAAUCAUACCUGAAGUUCUUUGUCAAAGAAUUCAGGACAAGUCUAAUGAUCACAGGUAAGUGUGUGUGUAGACAGGUAAAUAACUGCUGGGUGACAGACAAGUGGAGCACGUGCUGGGUGGUUCGUGGUGGGAAUCUGGGCAACGAAUGGAGUGCUGUGUACUUGCGUAUUUUCUCUAAGUUUGAAAUUAAUUUGAAAGUCAUUUUUUAAAGUCCAUGAUCAAAUGGCCAAUUCAAAAUGCGGAUUUGAUUGAAUCUCUUCUGCGCUUGGUUUCCUUUGCUCCUAUUCAUGACAAACAGAGCUUGCCACACU